rnacentral:rRNA from 1 species
CCAAUAGCGUAUAUUAAAGUUGUUGCAGUUAAAAAGCUCGUAGUUGAAUUUCGGGAUCAAUUAAUUGGUCGUGCCUCUGGUACGUACUGAUUUUAUUGGUUUCUCCCUUCUGACGAACCAUGAUGUCAUUAAUUUGGUGUCGUGGAGAAUCAGGACUGUUACUUUGAAAAAAUUAGAGUGUUUAAAGCAAGCUAACGCUUGAAUACAUUAGCAUGGAAUAAUGAAAUAGGACGUUUGAUCCUAUUUUGUUGGUUUCUAGGAUCGACGUAAUGAUUAAUAGGGUUAGUUGGGGGCAUUAGUAUUAAAUUGGCAGAGGUGAAAUUCUUGGGUUUAUUGAAGACUAACUACUGCGAAAGCAUUUGCCAAGGAUGUUUUCAUUAAUCAAGAACGAAAGUUAGGGGAUCGAAGACGAUCAGAUACCGUCGUAGUCUUAACCAUAAACUAUGCCGACUAGAGAUCGGGCGGUGUUAUUAUUUUGACUCGCUCGGCACCUUACG